AUUGAACGCUGGCGGUAUGCCUUACACAUGCAAGUCGAACGGCAGCACGGGAGCUUCUUGCUGGUGCGGGUUGCGGGUCGCGUGCGUAUUACGUAGACACCUGUCUCGACGUUUGCGUUGGGGCGGCCGAAGCCGGACUUAUACUGCUUCCGAAUACGGGCUGCGAGUGGGGGCACGUCAGGUUCCGCCCUUUAGCGUUGGACGAUGGCGGAUUCGGUAGUUGGGGGGGGAAAGGCCGACCAAGGCGACGACCAGUAGCCGGUCUGAGAGGAGGAGCAGCCACACUGGGAAUGAGACACGGCGCAGACUCCUACGGGAGGGAGAAGUGGGGAAUUUUGGACAAUGGGCGAAAGCCUGAUCCAGCAAUGCCGCGUGUGUGAAGAAGGCCUUCGGGUUGUAAAGCACUUUUGUGCGGAAAGAAAACCUUAGCCCUAAUACGGUCGGGUGAUGACGGUACCGGAAGAAUAAGCACCGGCUAACUACGUG
rnacentral:rRNA from 1 species